UUUCCGUAGGUGAACCUGCGGAAGGAUCAUUAUUGGAUUUUGAAACUUCAGGCUGCUGCUGGCUCUCCUCGGAGGGCAUGUGCACGCUUGUUGUCCAUUAUUUCUCCCACUGUGCACAAAUUGUAGACCUUUCAGUAGGCCUAUGUUGUUUUUCACAAUCUCUGAAUGUAAUAGAAUGGUUUUGAAUCUUGGGAAAUUCAAUACAACUUUCAGCAACGGAUCUCUUGGCUCUC
rnacentral:misc_RNA from 1 species